rnacentral:rRNA from 1 species
CGCAUCUGUGCAUGCAGCAUAUCAAUAAGCGGAGGAAAAGAAACUAACAAGGAUUCCCCUAGUAACGGCGAGGGAAGCGGGAAGAGCUCAAAUUUGAAAUCUUAAAGGGUUUCCCUUUACGAAUUGUAGUUUAAAGAAGUGUUUUCUGUUGAGGUUUUGGUAAAAGUUCUUUGGAAUAGGACAUCAUAGAGGGUGAGAAUCCCGUAUUUGACCUUUACUUUCAACUUUGUGAUACACUUUCAAAGAGUCGGAUUGUUUGGGAAUGCAGUCCAAAAUGGGUGGUAAAUUUCAUCUAAAGCUAAAUAUUGGCGAGAGACCGAUAGUGAACAAGUACCGUGAGGGAAAGAUGAAAAGAACUUUGAAAAGAGAGUUAAACAGUACGUGAAAUUGUCAAAAGGGAAGCGUUUGACACCAGUGUUGUUUUUCUGAAAAUCAAUUAAAGAACUGUUUAUGCUAAGUUGUUUAGACUUUAUCAGCUAACUGUUUAGUUUUGAGCUUUUCUUUAAUGCACUUUUCAGUUAACAAGUCAACAUCAAUUUCUUUUGCUGUAAAAAAGCUUGAGGAAGGUGGCUUGAGAUUCGUCUUAAGUGUUUAUAGCCUCUUGCCUAUGCAGUCGGAGAGAUUGAGGUCUGCAGCGUAGAUCCUUCGGGGCUAAAUGCAUUUGUGCUAAGUUAUAACAUUUUAUAGACAACUUGUUGACUAUGAUUUGUCUUGUAGCUUACUCGCUUAUGUUAUUUUACCUACGCUUAGGAUGUUGAACGCGCACAGAGUCUC